UCAUAACGAUACAGUACACACACACACACACACACAAGCUGACCUAUUCUAUGGCUGUGCAGCUGGAUGAGUCAACCUUGCCUGGUAUUGGUCUAUUCAACACACAGAGACUGAAGACUAAAAUAUUUCUGCAUUAGAGAUUUGCUAUGGACUGAUGCUUGCACCCUGAAUGCCUCAAAUGAAGCAGAUCUUAUCCCUGUACACAUUUUGGCUUCACAAACACAGUAGGCAUGGAACCAGAAAUACUAUGACCAUAAACUGCCUGAUGUCAGGUCAUUGAUUGAUAGGUUGAGCAGUAUGCACUUUGGAUUGUCAUCAACCUAGUCCUGAGUUCAAAGCCUGCCAGCUGGAUGUCAUGCAGGAAUAAUGAGCUAAGAGGUAUUGUUUCGCCCUUUUUAACUGUACGCAACUGCUCCAUAGCUUCUUCUCUAGAAUAUGGCAGGAGAAUGAACUUGAAUGAGAGAUGAUCAAUAGGCUGGUUGUACUUUCUAGCAAAAUUUUGAAGAGUUCCAGUCAAG